rnacentral:rRNA from 1 species
UACGGAGGGGGGCUAGCGUUGUUCGGAAUUACUGGGCGUAAAGCGCACGUAGGCGGAUCGAUCAGUCAGGGGUGAAAUCCCAGGGCUCAACCCUGGAACUGCCUUUGAUACUGUCGAUCUGGAGUAUGGAAGAGGUGAGUGGAAUUCCGAGUGUAGAGGUGAAAUUCGUAGAUAUUCGGAGGAACACCAGUGGCGAAGGCGGCUCACUGGUCCAUUACUGACGCUGAGGUGCGAAAGCGUGGGGAGCAAACAGG